rnacentral:rRNA from 1 species
AUACGUAGGGAGCGAGCGUUGUCCGGAUUUACUGGGUGUAAAGGGCGCGCAGGCGGGUUGGUAAGUCAGAGGUGAAAUCCUACAGCUCAACUGUAGAACUGCCCUUGAUACUGCUAAUCUUGAGUAUGGAAGAGAGAGACGGAAUUCCAGGUGUAGUGGUGAAAUACGUAGAUAUCAGGAAGAACACCAGUUGCGAAGGCGGUCUCUUGGUCCAAUACUGACGCUCAGGCGCGAAAGCGUGGGUAGCAAACAGGAUUAGAAACCCGGGUAGUCC